rnacentral:pre_miRNA from 1 species
CGCUUUUACAUGGACGCGCUUUGCUGACGUGGCAUAACGCUCCCUCAGGGACGCAUUUUAGCUCGUAUUUUUCUAGUGUUAGGGUUUUUUGCAUGUUUAGUGCUUAGGAUUUAUGAGUUUAGGGUUUAAGAUUUUGCCACGUCAGCUAAGCGCGUCCACAUCAACGCGU